rnacentral:rRNA from 1 species
GAGACAGCAGCCGCCGCGGUAACACGUAGGUGGCAAGCGUUGUCCGGAAUUAUUGGGCGUAAAGGGCUCGCAGGCGGUUUCUUAAGUCUGAUGUGAAAGCCCCCGGCUCAACCGGGGAGGGUCAUUGGAAACUGGGAAACUUGAGUGCAGAAGAGGAGAGUGGAAUUCCACGUGUAGCGGUGAAAUGCGUAGAGAUGUGGAGGAACACCAGUGGCGAAGGCGACUCUCUGGUCUGUAACUGACGCUGAGGAGCGAAAGCGUGGGGAGCGAACAGGAUUAGAUACCCGAGUAGUCCCUGUCUCUUAUAC